AGUCUCUCUGUGUCCUCUGUAGGAGGGAGAGUCUCUCUGUCCUCUGUAGGAGGGAGUGUCUCUCUGUGUCCUCUGUAGGAGGGAGAGUUUCUCUGGUUCCUCUGUAGGAGGGAGAGUCUCUCUGGUUCCUCUGUAGGAGGGAGAGUCUCUCUGGGUCAUCUGUAGGAGGGAGAGUCUCUCUGUGUCCUCUGUUGGAGGGAGAGUCUCUCUGACAGAAACUCUGCUGACUGAAGAUCAGCUGCUGAAAUCAAACAUCAAACACUCUGCACUGUGAAGCAGAUCUGUCUCAGACUCACAUUUUUCCCUCUAAACUUCUCACAUGCUUUCAUUUCAAUAAAUGUUCAAAUGAUCCAAUAUUUCAGCAAAAAUCAAAGAUUAGAGAAAAAGUCCAAAAACUGAAAACACAUUUGUGUAUCAGACCUUUGUUUUUUCUUCUUUCCUCUCCCAUUAAUCAUUUAUCAAUAAUUUAACUACAUCACUCAUAAUACUGCAGUACUUUUACUGUAAUAGGAUUUUUCAUGCAGGACUUUUACUAGUAAUAGAGUAUUCUUACUUUGCUCUACUGGUACUUUUACUACAGUAAAGUAUCCGAUUACUUUUUCCACUUCUGGAUUUACAGAAAUGUUGGAAUGUUUCUUUACUGAUGGAUAUUUUUUAAUAUCAACUCAUCACGUGAGUUUUAGUCUGACAGUAACUUCCCGCCCCUCCCUGAGGAUGAAGCCACGCCCCUUGUUUCCUGGAUGCGUCAAGCUGUUGGACACAGACUGGAAACCGCAACGGAUCAGACUUCAAAAUAAAAGCUCAUAACUGUGCUCAUCAAAGAACAAACACUUCAGCCCAGAGAUGUUUAUUUUCAAACACUAUUAAAGUCUCUGCUGGUGUGUGCUGUGAUAUGUUGGUUCAACCUUUACUUAAACAGCGUGAUUCACUUUCUUUUGCUUGUGUACUUUGGACAAUAAAGUAAAAAUACAACACAAACGUUACACCUAAAACAACGACAAGUAAAAUAUACAAUGGUGCAUCAAAGCAGUGUUGCAGGUUCGGAUGGAGACAAACUCAAACAUUUAAAACCUGCUAGCUAAAGAAUUAAUUUGAAAGUGUCCAUUUAAUAAAUCUAAUAAACAAC